rnacentral:lncRNA from 1 species
UAGGCUUAACGUAUGAUGUGUUUAUAAAACUCCAGUGAUUAGGGAAGAAAGGGUUCCAAUCCCUUGACCCAAGAGCAGACCGUGAGGGAAGAAAGGGUUUCAAUCCCUUGACCCAAAGCGGAAACCAAGGCUAACCUGUGAUAUGCUGACCCUAAGAGAGUGGGUUCUAUGUUUUCAGACAUAGGGCGUGGAGGUUGAGCUUGGUAGUGGAUCGCUGGUGUAGGCCCUGGGGGCUGUUUCAGACUGAUAUGUCUGAGUGUUUUUAAGGUUAAGCCUGGUGGUUUUACAGCAAAAGUGGGGGUCUAGUUGGGUCAUGUAUGGGAUUUAUCAGAUACACAAAGUUCAGUUUAGGCUUGCUACGGGUUCCGGCGGCCUUAAGCCGAUCUGGAUCCUAGCGCCGAGCAGUUUGGGCCGUUACAAAGGGGUACCGGUUUUCGGGCUGUUACAGAUGGUAUCAGAGCAUAGGGCCUCCUAAGUACGGUGUGUUGAGCAUUUUUGUUCAAGGCUUAGAGAUAUCCCACAUCGGAAAGAGGUUGGAUUAGAGGUUAUAGGAAGGCAAGCACAAUAAGUAAAAUCAUGUCCACUAGGAUGUUGAGUUUUGUUUUGCAUGCUGAUGUGGAAUGCCAUGAUUUUAUGCAUGUGCAUUAAUGUUAUGAUAUGUAUGUGUGGUAGGUUUCUAUAUUUCCAUAUGAUUGCUAAUGGUUGUUGUUUAUGACUUGUUCUUUAGAAGAGCUAAGAUGAGUGGAGCUAGUCAAUCUGUGGAAUCAGAUCCGUCUGAAGGGUCGUUUGAUGAAAGCAGAGAAGGCAUGGAUCUAAGGAGAAUGUCAGGAGAUAGAAGAGAGGUAGAAUUAGUUGUGCAAGGAAGGGAUGUAGGUUUGCAGGUGAAUAUGGAUGAAGAGUCUUCAGGAGAUGCUCAGACCAAGGAUUCCAGGAUUUCAGGUUUAGGAAAGAAUGAUCCCUCCACUUGGAGUACAGCUGCCACAAGAGGCAAAAAGUGGGGGGAAACCACGAGGGAGUGGGGUAGGACCAGGAAGGGCAGAUUAUGGAAGCGGUUGAGGGCAAGUCUAGAUGUUGGUUCAAGCUCUAGUGUGGAUAGAUCAAAAUGUUUGAGGUGUGGAAGGUUGCAUAAGGGAGUUUGCCGGAUUGGGACAACAGCAUGUUUCAGGUGCGGACAGGAAGGGCACAUAGCACGUGAGUGUCCUACUGCGCCUUGGAUGGCUCAGUCCCAGCAGACUUUUGCAGGUAGAGCGGCUCAGGCCAGUAGGCAAGGAAGAGAGGCAGACACAUCAAACACAGUGGUGCCAGGUAUGCUCACUUUUGAGAGUUCUGAUGUGUAUGUUCUUGUGGACCCUAGAGAAUGUCAGCUGAUGUGAGAGUAGCAGAAUGGAGUAGAGUUAAAUGUUCAGAACGGAAGAUUCAGAGCAGAGUUAGUAGCUAGAAGUUAGUAAGCCAGAGAAGAGCUAGAGAGAGAGUUGCUAUGAAAUGUUAUGGCUUCAGAUGUUCAUAACCUCAGGUAUAAUGUAGCCUCUCAUGAAGCAUAGGAAUAAGAGGAAGUAAGAAGAGUAAGUGAGCUAGAGCAAAGUAAAGGAAGAAAAAGGAAGAGUAAAAGUAAGAGAAAGUAAGAAAGAGCAGAAGAGUAAAUGAGUUAGACCAGAGUAAGAGGAAGAGAAAAAGAAAUAAGAGUAAGCUCAGGAAGAGGUUAGAGCCGGUCUGGGUAGUAGGUGGUGGUUGAGGUAGAGGAAAGGGUCAGCCUUUUCUUUAGUAGAUUCCUGAGGGAAGUUCCGUUAGCUUUAGCUCGGAUCUUCACCCUGACUCAGCAGGAGGCUAACACAGCGAACACAGUGACGUCAGGUACGUUCACUUGUGGAUGUUUGAAUGUGUGUGUCGUUCUUGUGAACCCUAGUGUUUCUCUUUCCUUGUUGCUUUACGUGAGCCGUUGAUAGAGUGGGUUUGAUGACUUUUGGGCUUAGCGUGUUUUCUCUGGGUUAGUGGACCCGAGUAUGAUCCAUCAGAGGCAGAGUCAGUUAGGUCAGUUCAGAGUUUGUGGUGAGUAGAUGCUAUCCAGCUGACCUUAUGGUUCUAAAGUUGACUGUUUGAUGUCAUUCUAGGGCGGAUUGGCUAGCUACUCAUAGUACUACCUGUGUCUGCAGAGACAAGGUAGGAGAGUUUAGAGUGCAGGAUGGAUCAGAGAUAGUCCUUGGAGGAGACAGAGUAUAGGUGCCUAAAGGUUUGAUGUCAGCCUUUCAGGCUCAUAGUUGCGCAGGAAAGGUUGUCAGAGGGUUCUAGCUCUUGCUGAUUGUUUAGUAGGCAGUCAGGUCAGGGAAUUAGCCUCAGUGCCCGUAGUUAGUGAGUUCUCAAAGUGUUUCCCAGACGAGCUGUCAGGUUAACCAUCUGUCAGGGAGUUAGAGUUUGGAAUAGGAGUAGUGUCUGGACGCGGAACCAUUUCUUUCCUUCUACCCUACAGGAUGGCACCUGCAGAGUUGAGAUAGUAGUCCGCGUAGUGUAGAGAGGUUUGGUAGAUAAGGGUUUUAUCCGACCUAGUACCUCACCCUAAAAUAUUCCAGUGUUGUUGUGGGAACGAAGGAUAGAUCCUUGCGACUUUGUUGUGACUGUAAGCAGUUAACAAGGUCACUACUCAGGAAAGGUAUUUCCCUGUAGGAUUGGUGAUCUAUUAGAACAGCUAGUAGGAGCUGGUUGUGGUUUUAGUAGGAUCAGAGAUUUGGGUACUACUUGGUGAGAGUUAGAGAUUGAAAGUGAGAAAAGAGGCUAGGUGAGUACAGAUAAGAGGGAAAGAGAGGAAUAAGGAUCAGAGUGCGCAGUGAAAGCAUGUGGAGUUCAAGAGUAGAUCGAGGUAUUGAUUGUGUCAGAUCCUAGUUAUGUGCAUAAGGAAUCAGAGGUGGAGAGCUUAGGACAUCUCACCUAUGUGGAGCAGUUCGUAUGGAUCAUAGGCACAUAAGUAAGGAAGUGUGAUUCAAAGAUCUAAGAGUGGUUACUCCAGCAACAGUACUUGUGUCUCUCUUUGUAAGAGCGACAUUGUGUUCUGUUUACUUGCAUAUAUGUUUGUUGUUUUUAACAUUCGAGGACGAAUGUUUUUAAAGGGGGGAAGAAUGUAAUACUCGGCUAGAUCAGGCAUCGGAAUUCCUACCGUCCGGUGGAAUUCGAGGAUGUCAGAGGUUUCUAGAAGGGUAAGAUAAAGGUUUUCUUAAAUGUUUUUAAGUAUAGUGAGAUAGGACUGAGUUUUGAAGAGAAAAGACCAAGGAGGCUUUUGCCAGGUUCGACCGCCGAAGGUAAUGUUCGGUCGCCGAAAGUGCCUUAGAUUUGGCUUCCGAAACUCCAAGUUCGGCCGCCGAACGUUGCAUGGUUUUGCAUGCGGUUAGGUUGCCGAAGGAGAGUCGGUCAGCCAGCUAUAAAGCUUUCCCCAGUCGGUGAAAUGGAUAAGUGUCACUUUCCUUUCACUCUCUGAGGUAAGACCAUGUCCUCCAUGAGUUAUCUAUAUGUUUUUAUCAAAUCUUGCAAAGGUGUGAUUGGUUUUAAUGAUGUGUUGAAGAGUUUGAGUUAAAAAGCUAAGUUUUGAGGUUUGGAGAGUUUGAAGAGGAGUUGCUCCAUAUCUCUAAGUUCAGAUCGUUCAUCUUCUUGUUGUCAAGAGGUAAGUGAAGAUCUUGAACUUCUUUUGAUGAUUUAUAAAGGUUUUUAUGGAGGUGAUGAGUAGAGUUGCAUGUGUAGGGUAAAAAGGGUGAUUUUGAGGGUUUAUGCAUGGAAGCAUGUUUCUGUGUUAUGAUAUGUUGUUAUGUUGGGGUUUUAGGUAGUUUUGGACCCCUUUGUGCAUAUACUCUAGUAUAUGUAUGUUGAAGAGUUGAGGUUUGCAUGUUUUGAGGGGUGGAAAGGAUUGAGGAGCUUGGUUGUCAUCGGGGAUGAGUUCUUGAUGAACUCAGGUUCAGCAGCCAAAGGUACAUUCGGCCGCCGAACCCCUUGAGGAGGUGGUUUCGGCUGCCAAAGCUCACCCCCGAGCGUUUUGAGUUUCGGCUCUGGAAGGGGGAUUCGGCCGCCGAAGGUGCCGUCGAAGGUUAGAGACUUUCGUCUCUGGAGUGUCUUUCAGCCCCCGAACCUUGCCCCCGAAAGGGUUCGGCAGCCGAAAGUAGAGAUUUGACCGCCGAAGGUGUUUGAGUUUCGGCUCUGGAGAGGACAUUCGGCCGCCGAACCUGCCGCCGAAAGUGUUCUAUUCAGCCUUCUUUGGCAUGCUAUAUGUGUUUGUUCUCGGAACUGUUAGGGGGGGUUUUUGGGGAGGUGUUUAAGAGUUGUUUAUGAGUUAUGCAGCGUAUGUUUGACACCUCAUUCGAGUCCAUUUGUGUAGGAUUGGACCCGAGAGAUCGAGGAGGUCGUCAGGGUUAGUAGAGGCAGUUCAGUAUUUGCUAGAGGAGCAGAGGUGAGUAGAACUAACUUAAAUUCUUUUAAUAUAAGAAAUGAUAUAUGUGUAGCAUGUUUCAUGCAUCAUGAGUUUCAUGAGUAUGCAAUAGGUUGAUUGCAUUAGAAUCACGACUAUGAUGCCUUGCAUUGUUUAUUGAUGGUGUGGAUUGGACCCAGGCGACUUCAAUAGCCCACAGAUCUAUUAUGUCUAGGUAAGACCUGUGUGAGCUCCACAGGAGGGGCCGGGCGCUAGUACAUGUAGUGACGAGCUCCGUAUGGGGUCGUGCACCGACAGAGGGAGUUUUGGGGUCAUGUCUAAUCUGAGAUGUGAAAUGUUUGUGCUGUGACGCAUUUCAUGAGAGCAUGUCAUGAAUGAACUAUUUUAGUGUUUCUACUCACUGGGCUUUAGUAGCUCAUCCCUUUCCCUUAACCCCAGGUUUGCAGGGCCAGAGUUAGCCAGGGAAGAUCAGAGUCAGCAGGAUGUCAGCAAUGGUAUUGCUUGUGUAAUAAGAGUAGUGGACAUGAUGUAGAUUAAAGAGAUAUAUGUCAAAUGAUGUAAUAGAUUAGACGUUAGUAUGUUAUGAUUUAGUAUGUGCUUUGCCUAAUGUAUGGUUAAUUCCUAGUGUAUGCAUGUAUCCUGUUUUACGUUUCUUGAUGAGAAAUGUGUCAAACUAGGCUUAACGUAUGAUGUGUUUAUAAAACUACAGUGAUUAGGGAAGAAAGGGUUCCAAUCCCUUGACCCAAGAGCAGACCGUGAGGGAAGAAAGGGUUUCAAUCCCUUGACCCAAAGCGAAAACCAAGGCUAACCUGUGAUAUGCUGACCCUAAGAGAGUGGGUUCUAUGUUUUCAGACAUAGGGCGUGGAGGUUGAGCUUGGUAGUGGAUCGCUGGUGUAGGCCCUGGGGGCUGUUUCAGACUGAUAUGUCUGAGUGUUUUU